AAUCUGAUUGCGUGCUGGCAUAAUCGGGCCAGUUAAUUACGCGGCACAAAGACAACCGCCAUUUUUCUGACAAUAAUCUGGGCACACUAAUAGAAUAAUGUAAUGGCGAGAAUUAGUAUCGUCAUUCGUGGUAACAAAAUUUGCAUCGGGUAAUGAAACAAUAUACAUGUAUGAUGUAGUCUCACAGAACGUACUGACAGUUGGUCAUGACCUAGGCUAGAGGUCAAGUUUCGUAUGCAUAUUGCCAAGUCAGCAAGAGUACUCAGAUGCAACGUAUUCUGUGCAUGCAAUACGACGGUUGUAGUUUGAACCAGUUCUGGAAGCUUCCCAGCAGGUGGGUCCUCUGUAGACGCUCGAUGUAAUUGCAUACAUGUACGUUCAGCAGAACACCAAGUUUGAACGUGGCGAAGGUACGAAGACGAGGAGACUGAACUGUUCAUGAGAAUGCUGCUGAACCAGACAGAGUAUCUGCAUCAAAACUACAGUUUACAUUACAUGUGGAGACACCAUCAAGAAAGUCUCAAACUACAACACGUACAAUGAUGCACUUCUUCUCCAGCUUCGGGGUACUAUGCUUUUGAUUUGGAUUAUCCAAAGUAUUUUCACGUGCUUUGAGUUCUUUAAAAAAAUUCAUAAUCAGAGAAAAGUUUUCCUGGCAGAUUCCAGCAAAUUCAUGGUGUUCACUACAAGGUAUUUGUGUAUAAAUUAAUUGGAUACAUUGUUAAAAUCUCAGCUAAAGAUCAAUACUUAUUUUACCACUUCAAAUCAUAACGCAAACCUUCAUAGGUUUUAAAAAACAAGUAUAAUUCAUUUGCAGUUUUACUUCUAAGUCUCAUUGAAUUGGAAACUAAUUGUUUUUAACCCUUUUUACAUUAUAUUCACCCUUUUGUGUUAAUGUUUUUGUUUCUUUGUUUUGAUACUUGUAUAAGUUGUAAUUGGCCUUAAAAUGUUGGGGUCUUAAAAAUAGGAUUGUUGGAAACAUACUGAUAGGCAUGGUAGUAUAUUCACAUGAAUGUCACAUUAUUUUUGCUGUCGUGAUGUAAAAUAUUCUCUAGGGGUGACCAUAAAAUACAUUUGUAUUUUAUUGUGUCCAUUUCAUGAUUCGAUAGAACUCAAUAGGCCUUUCACCACACUGAAUCCUAUAGGUGAAAAUGAAGACAGCUUUGUGAAGUGCCCUAAAUGCGUUUAUUUCAAUGUUGUUAAUAUUGUGACUGAAGUUUUACUUGCAAUUUUGAAUACUAUUCGAAAACUAAACACACACUGUGAAUAUAAACACUUGAAAAUAAUAAUAAAUGGCGUCACAUGUUGAAAAUCUGUCACAGGCAAUAAACGUGUCACAAUCAUGUUUAAAAUUA